GGCUCUUUAGCUCAGUUGGUUAGAGCGUUCCCCUCAUAAGGGAAAGGUCGAUUGUUCAAGUCAAUCAAGAGCCA
rnacentral:tRNA from 1 species